rnacentral:rRNA from 1 species
CAAACGACUCUCGGCAACGGAUAUCUCGGCUCACGCAUCGAUGAAGAACGUAGCAAAAUGCGAUACUUGGUGUGAAUUGCAGAAUCCCGUGAACCAUUGAGUUUUUGAACGCAAGUUGCGCCCGAAGCCUUUUGGCCGAGGGCACGUCUGCCUGGGCGUCACGC